AAAAUCACUUUCUUUUUAUAUCAUCUUGAUUGUUCAGUUCAUUGGGAAAAAAUAUGCUGAUCGUCACCUAGGAGCUGCCGAUUUCAAUGCUGAGUGGUUGAUAGUAGUUUUUCAGAAAAGUGAAUUUGCUCAGAUAUACCUUAGAAAAAGAAAAGAGCAGUGCAUUGAGAAAGGUCAGUAUUCAUAAAGUACUACUGAAUGUACAGAAAUAAGGCUCAGUCAUUCACUGUUACAUCACAGCCUGCAGUAGAAUCUUAGCACCACCCUACUGAGAAACACCAGCAGGCAGUCAGUGCCUUUCAGACAUCCUGUAUCUUCUGGAGGAGGAAAACACACAAGCACUGAGCAUUUCUGCCAUCUUGCUGAAGGACUCGAAGCUAUCACCACCUAUUUCCAGAAACCUGUCUCCUGUGGUCCAUUUUCACUUUGAAACCAAAGACAACUACCAGUCAGUUGUUCUGCUUUGACAAUGCCCCGAGUCAAAGAGAAGAGACAUCGUCAAAGAGAAGAGACGUAGUCAAAACAGUGGGAUUGAUCUACCACCAGCUCCAUCUUAGUAUGGUGUCAGCCUGCAGAAACAUGCCUCUGAGAGGCAGUACACAAGUACAAAAGCAAUCCCAGAUGCUCUCAAAUGGAGAGGUGUCCUCUCCUAGUGAACCAUACUGUGUAUGGAAGGAAGGAUCACACUUGGCACCUGAAAUAUCAGCCAGUCUUCUGAGAGUGCCAGCACAAUCAAUUUAUAUCAGAAGAGGAAACAAAUGGUAGUUUUGUCUGCUGGAGGGCAUGUAGAGUGA
rnacentral:lncRNA from 1 species